GCUGCCUCACCUCGCCUCGCCGCUGUUCACAUCCCGCUCUCUUUUUCGCUCGUCUCCUCGCUCUUACCUCUCAAUCGCUCUGUUGCACUUCCUUCCGAUGUGUCGCCGCCGCUUGGACACUGACUUCAUCUUACGGCGACAUCCGCUGAAGCGAUUGCAUGUAAAUGCCGCUCGACAUUACGGAACGGUUCUGUGGCGAUUUUAACCUGCAUUCCCGUUUCAAGAAAGUAGUCAAGGCACAAUUUUGAGAGAAAAGGCAUCCAGUUUACCCGGUUACAGACUUUGGCAAAGCAUUGUCUCAUCGUGCGAAGGUCUAUGAGGAAUUUGCGACUUUACUUGAGCCUGGUUUGGGAAGUAUCAGCCAAUGAGGUUGCAGGUUAUGUAAUUGGACCGGUGUACAACUGCCGACUUUUCUUUGCUCAUCCUCGCUUGCUUUGAGUCAGCAUGGAGGUCUUUGCUGAGUUACGUGCUUUUGGGCACUUUGUGUUGUUGUUUGCAUUCAUGUGUUUGUCCGUGUGCAUGCGCGUGUGCGUGCGCGCGCACUGUGCAGUCCAGUCCAGUUAUUGCAGGCAGCCCUGACACAGAUGGUGCUUGAUACCACAUACCAGAGGUAUUGUUUAGAGAAGGCAAGCUUGAAGAGAUAAUUGACAAGAGACGUAGAGAUAAACCCAACACACACACACACCGCACCGCACUGCCCCCCCUCCCCCAUUUCUCCCCACCCAAACGCACGUUCACGCUCAAACACAUCCCGUCCACCUUUACUCCAUGUCUUUCCGCCAGCCUCUCUUUUACGGUGUUGAAUAACGCUCACCCAAUGACCCUUUCCCGAUUUUAUUUUAACCUCAUCUUUUUUCUUUUUUUCUUUGAUUUUUUUUGUUUAACUAGCAUCCAUUCCUCCCUCUAGCUGCACUCCCUUGCGCUCCUUCAAAUUCACCCUAGCAGCAGAGCCUAGACUGGCUUCUGAUUGGUGGACAGGCUGCUUUUGUGCACUACGUCUAAUGUGACAUCAUGUGUGUGUGUGUGUUGGGUGCAUGCAUGUGUAUUUGUUCAGUAAUGUGCAUGUUUGAAGCAAGAAAGAGGGGGAAGGGGCCGUUGAGAUGACGUUGGAAACCUGUGUGCAGAAAAGGAGAAAAACCACAGAGCGUGCCUGUUUGUGUGCGUGUGCAGAGUAGACCUAUUGGCAUACUAGCACAAGGGAUUUAGAGCAAGGGUGGGGGGUAAAGUGAGAGAGCGAGGGGAAGAGAGAAAGAGAGAGAGAGAGCAUUUGUACGAGGGCUCCGGCAAAACCAGAUUAAAAACACAAAAUGGCUUCCUGAAUGAGCUGGUGGAACCGAGAGAGAGAGAGUGAGACAGAGAGAGAAGGAGGGAAAGAGACUGAAAGAGGAGUGUGUAGUAGAAAGAAAGAGACGAAAGGUCUCGAGAGAUAGAGGUGAAGACGAGGGGGAGCUGGGGCUCCUUGUCUGAUGGGGAUUCUGCAAACGGAUGAAGGAAUACAAAGCAAGGCAGCUGUGAGACUUGGAGGGUGCAAUAUUCGGAAGACAACAGUCCGGGCUUAUCGGGAAACCCUGAAGCGGAUGCCGAGUGAUGUGGAGCGGCGUCCUCAGUUUAAAGCGUCCCACGCUGCCCGCUGAUUGGUGCCGGCGCCGGGCAUGUGUAGAUGCAGGAGGCCGAGGAGAGAAGGAGGGAAGAGAAGGAGGAAGCCUCGAUUCGGGCUUGGGAAUCCAGGAGGGGGCGCGGCGUCCUUCCGAGUCAAAUGAGCGCGUUACGGCCGAGAUCCGCCGUUCCGACUGCGCCGUUCCCGCUCGGCGCCGCCAACUGGUGUUUCUGCGGGGAGGCGCCUACGGCGGCGAGAGUUCAACAGAUGAUUGUGACGGACAUGCCGUGGCAAACGAGCAGUCGGAGAAACGCUUUCUUGGAAAAAGAGACUGCCAUCGUGUGGACAAUAAGUUAACUCAUUCAGUACUAGCCAAUUCUGGAACAAGUCUGAAAAGACGUUUAAAAACGUCUUUGGGAGUGAAUGAGUUCACUAAGUAGGUAAUAUUAAAAAAAAAAAACAAAUAAAUCGCACGUCUGUAUGAAGCAGUGAACGUCUGCAGAAGAAUGUGGUCAAAUGUUUUCUUGCUUGAGCAAAUUGAUGUCCUCCUUUCAGUGUUUUUCCUAAGCUGAGCUUGUUUCUAGCAACAGUUGCCGUGCUUAUCAACACUUCAAUUGAGUUUAUCUCGUGAAGAUCUCGUUUCUCUGUCAGGUUUCCUAUCUGAUUACCAAAAGGUAAACACUAGUCCGAAUACCACAAUUUAAAAAAGAAAAACUGGUCAGAAUCGCCUUCGUCUGAAAUUUCUUUCUUUCUUUGAUGCCGUUAAGGAAGUAGGUUCAACUAAAAGAUUACGAGUACAAGAGCGGGUUACAAGACGAGCUUGGCUUGCUUUCUCACGCUCAGCAUUUCCUUUCAGUGGCAAAAGAAUUUUAAAAUGGUGUCUGUGUUCAGACGUCAGAUAGAAUGUGUAAUCAUCUAGUUAGCAAUUGCAUGGAAUCCCCAGCCGGCUAUGCCAAAUAUUAACCCUGCCCUAGUUUCUAGGGCAACGUUGAGUGGAUGACAACAUCGCCGCUUUCAUGCUAGUUGAGGUACAGCAGCCAAUGGUGGUCACGUACGUAACCCACGAACCAUCACCCACGUGUGUGUGUUGUGUGUGGGUUUGUAGUAGAACAGGAAGUGGUUUGGUGUAUUGCGCAAACUCUGGAAGUGGAAGGUUUGACAACUAGAGUGUAGCAUUGAAUCAUGCGUUCAACACACUUUUUAUGAAAAGUGUUGGGACAAAAGUUUUGGGACUCUUGGCUCAUUACUGCUACAGGAAUUGUAAGACACAUGUAGUCGGAGUGGUCUUGACUCUUCUGGGAAGACUUUCAACACAAAUCAAGAGCGCAUACAGUAUGUCUGGGAAUUUCCUUCAUUUGUCAUACCAAUAUUUGGGAGACUUAUUCCUGUUGAAUGAGGGUCUCGCUCACAAUUGAUGGGGAAAUUCGUCCCCGAGGUGUUUGAUGGGUUAAGGUGAGGGCAUUUCAAGUUCUUUCACAUCAACCCAACAACACAUUUUGCAGUCAUGCUGGGAUACCAAAGGCCACCAACCAAUAAAAGUACCCUUAUUAUGACUAUUAUGAAGAUUACAUUUUCAUAAGGCAUAAUAAAUUGUUUCAAAUCAUUACAUAGUGCAUGCCUGUCAUAUGCUGGGCUCACGUUUUGCCGUUCUGCUUUGCCACGCUCUUGUUCAAAAUAGUGAAAGCUAAUGAUUACCAUGUGAUAUGAGAUUGGACAGAAAAAAAUAGCAAUCAAUUGUGGGCAGAUCUUGAACUUGGAAAAUGGUGAGUAAGACUGUUCUAAGUUGUCGACAAUUGCUUUGUAAAGUCAUAAGUAACCUCUUUUUUAAAUAUUAAUAAAUCUCUGUUCCCAUGAAGUUGGA